GACGAACGCUGGCGGCGUGCUUAACACAUGCAAGUCGAACGGUAAGGCCCUUCGGGGUACACGAGUGGCGAACGGGUGAGUAACACGUGGGUGAUCUGCCCUGCACUUCGGGAUAAGCCUGGGAAACUGGGUCUAAUACCGGAUAGGACCCUGGGAUGCGUGUCCUGGGGCGGAAAGCUUUUGCGGUGUGGGAUGGGCCCGCGGCCUAUCAGCUUGUUGGUGGGGUGAUGGCCUACCAAGGCGACGACGGGUAGCCGGCCUGAGAGGGUGACCGGCCACACUGGGACUGAGAUACGGCCCAGACUCCUACGGGAGGCAGCAGUGGGGAAUAUUGCACAAUGGGCGCAAGCCUGAUGCAGCGACGCCGCGUGAGGGAUGACGGCCUUCGGGUUGUAAACCUCUUUCAGCACAGACGAAGCGCAAGUGACGGUAGGUGCAGAAGAAGGACCGGCCAACUACGUGCCAGCAGCCGCGGUAA
rnacentral:rRNA from 1 species